rnacentral:rRNA from 1 species
UACAUAGGGGUCAAGCGUUGUCCGGAUUUACUGGGCGUAAAGGGCUCGUAGGCGGCGAGACAAGUCAGAAUUUAAAGGCAAGAGCUCAACUCUUGUUCGGUUCUGAAACUAUCUUGCUUGAGAUUGGGAGAGGAAGACGGAAUUAACAGUGUAGCGGUGAAAUGCGUAGAUAUUGUUAAGAACACCCGUGGCGAAGGCGGUCUUCUGGCCCAAAUCUGACGCUGAGGAGCGAAAGCGUGGGGAGCAAACAGGAUUAGAUACCCUGGUAGUCCACGCUGUAAACGAUGUACAUUAGGUAUGGGAGGUAUCGACCCCUUCUGUGCCGCAGCUAACGCGUUAAAUGUACCGCCUGGGGAGUACGGUCGCAAGAUUAAA